rnacentral:rRNA from 1 species
CCGACGGUCUACGUAGUGACCUGCGGAGGGUCAUU